rnacentral:rRNA from 1 species
AUUGAACGCUGGCGGCAUGCUUUACACAUGCACGUCGGACGAGUGGCGGACGGGUGAGUAAUGUCUGGGAAACUGCCUGAUGGAGGGGGAUAACUACUGGAAACGGUAGCUAAUACCGCAUACCAUCAGAUGUGCCCAGAUGGGCUUAGCUAGUAGGUGGGGUAACGGCUCACCUAGGCGACGAGCCCUAGCUGGUCUGUGAGGAUGACCAGCCACACUGGAACUUAGAAACGGUCCAGACUCCUACGGGAGGCAGCAGUGGGUAAUAUUGCACAAUGGGCGCAAGCCUGAUGCAGCCAUGCCGCGUGUGUGAAGAAGGCCUUCGGGUUGUAAAGCACUUUCAGCGGGGAGGCGUUACCCGCAGAAGAAGCACCGGCUAACUCCGUGCCAGCAGCCGCGGUAAUAC